GUCCGGAUGGUGCAUUGGUCAGCGCAUCUGCCUUGUAAGCAGGAGACUCAGGUUCGAAUCCUGGUCCGGGACA